CUCCUCCUUUUUAUUUUUUUCUAUUUUAUUAAAGUAAAUCAAACAAAUCAAUGCAACAAAAAUAUCUGCUUUCUCUGCACCAUGCACUAAACCGGCAACCCUCUGGAUGUUUUGGACUACAACUCCCAGAACCCACCCCCACCAGCCCAAAAACUAUAGCCCAAAACAUCUGGCGUGUUGAGCUUGGCAAAGGCUGUCUUAGAAUAGAACCUCCCCAGCCAUCUUCUGUAAGUGCACAGAUCAGCAAGCACCCCUUAUCUUCUGCAGAACACAAUGUGAACAACAGCCUUCUAGGGCUGGGCCCUGCCUCACACUAAGGUUGCAGUCCAUACACACUGGAUCGGCCUGUAUUUUUCCGCUAUCCUUGUGUAUGGGCCUGGUUCUGCCAAAUUUAUAGGGCGUGGGUAAUUCUCUUUUGCUUCAAUAUUAAAAAGGCCUGGCCAUUUCAUGCCCUAUGGAAUGUAUUUUAUAUUUUCCUUUCCUUUCCACCCCUAUUGCGAAGCAAAUUCUCACAUACCCUGCUGCGGGAGGUAUUUGGGAGAGCUGAGCUGGGCAAACAGGGCAAGGUGCAGCGAGGAGUCAGUUCCUUUCAUCUUAUUUUCUUUUCGUCGAGUCUCCUGCAAAUCAGCACAAGGAGGAAGGGAAAGCAGAUGGUGUUUAUUACGGCGGACCGAGUGCGAGGAAAGAAAAGCGGGGAGACGGGGGGAAAGAGCAUAGCCCGUCCUAUUGUGCUCUAAAUUAGUUGCAGGCCGAUGGCUGGGCUGUGACAAAUUCCAUAUGCUGCCGGGACUCAUUGUUGUGUGAGAAAGGGCGACAAUUUAUCGCCAGCCAAGAGGGACAAAGGACUUUGCAGAGUCGAAUGCCACUUUCAUGGGAUUAUGUGUGUGUUGUGUGUACGUGCGGGUAUUAUUCAUGUGUGUUUGCAUGUACGUAAGAGAUAUUUGUGAGCUGAGUGGUUUUGGAGUGUUUUUCACAAAGGCCCAUAAUGGCCAACAGACUUCCAUGAGAAACAGCUUCCCCACCAUUAUAGAGCUCCCCAG
rnacentral:lncRNA from 1 species